UGGAGAGACUACAGUCCGCUUUGAAAACUGUGAAGGAAUCCAAACAUGCUGAUUAGUUGAGCUAAAUUCUGAGAGCUCUCAUCAGAUGGAGGACAAGACGUUUUUGGGUGCGAAGAUCGUGAGCAUGUGGAGGGCAGAGGCUGGAGGGGACGAUGGCCAAAAUUAUUUUCCACGUACUUGCAAAAUAAUGAAUUUAUUCUAACCGCACAAAAAAUAAAAUAAAAUAAAAUAAAAUAAAAGGGACACAAGCUUUCUGUGUGUAUGUAAGAUUUGUGAAAAUCUAAUUUAAAAACAUAUUAAUGCCUUUGAGUUUGUGAAUUUUAAAGGAGCUGUGGCUGAAAAUCUCUGACACAU